rnacentral:tRNA from 1 species
CAUCAGAUGACUGAAAGUAAGUAAUGGUCUCUUAAACCAGUAUAUAGUAAUUAACAUCUACUUCUGAUGAAGAAAUUAGUUAAUUUAU